UUUGCAACAGCCGAUGUGUUUUAAAGGAACUGUAAUGCUGGUGGGAUUACACAGAUGUUGUUAAAGUAUCUGAGAAAAUGUUGAUACUGACAAUGUCAGUAAAAUGUUCAAUGACAACAUGUUUCAUUGGUUUUCCACCAAAAUAUCUGAUCCUGCAGCAAAAUAUCCACUUGUAGUGACCCCAGCAUUGUUGAACUGCUUUAUGGUUCUGUCACAGCACUUGGUUAAAGCUUCUAAGUUCUUAUAAGAAUGUAUCGAGUGUUGAGGUGAAAACAGUGUGACAGGAGUCUGUGGUAGAGAUGGACCUACGGAGAAUUAUCUCACCUCGGCUUCACCGAGCUUCACGCGUUUCCACUCAGGUUGAAAACGCUCAUUUAAACAUAGAAACUCACCCUGAGAGGCGACGCCCGGGGCAACAGCACCCAGCAGAGCCUCCGCCCGCACCCCUCACUGCCGCUGCUCGUUGAGCUUGUUGCCUUGAGCUCACAUUAAUAAUUCAAGAUCUACACUGAGUCAUGCUGAAGCCUACUAACCCUCAAUGAGACGCCUGGUUUUCUGAUCCUGUUGUGGAACUUGUGAAUAUUGUUUUGGACUUCUGAAAAGGAUAAACC